AGAGGACCCUGGGAAGGUCAGCAUGGCAGAGCUUUGGAUGGCCCAUCACCUCGCACAAGGAAGGCACACUUGGGACAGAUAAAGCAAGUCUUGCACAAGAGGAGAAGGGACAUGACAGCCAUUGAGAGCCAGCUAUGUACCAUGCAUUGGCUUAAGAUAUUUUAUCUUGGAGAUGCUCUCAACAACCCUGAGAGGUGAGGUUUGCAGCAUCAAUGUCAGCUGGGAAUUUAUGAGGAAAAAGCAUAUCUCAGACCCAACCCCAGAUCUACUGAAUCAGAAUAUGCCUCUUAUCGAAGCUUCAGAGCCUUAUGCUGAUGCCUGGGAACUAGCAGCACCGGGAUGUUGCUGCUGGAGAGGGAGCAGUUCUUGAUGGAGCUGACCAGACUCUUCCAGAAGUGCCAGUUGUCGGGCAGCGUGUUCAUCACCCUGAAGAAGUAUGAUGGUCGAACUAAACCCAUUCCAAGGAAAGGUUCUGUAGAGGGCUUUGAGCCCUCAGACAACAAGUGUCUGUUAAGAGCUACUGAUGGAAAAAAGAUCAGCACUGUGGUGAGCUCCAAAGAAGUAAACAAGUUUCAGAUGGCUUACUCAAACCUAUUGAGAGCUAACAUGGAUGGACUGAAGAAGAGGGACAAAAAGAGCAAGAGUAAGAAGAGCAAAGCAGCACAGCGAAGGGCACUGCAUAUCCUGCUCUCGCCAGUUCACCACCCAGUUACUGUUUUUCCUUUGGUUUUUCCUUUUUGCCACAAAGCUAGGUUUCUCAUUCCUCUGUGAUAACUUUUCAUGUGAGAAGAGGCUCAUUUUGGAUGGAACAAGGGCUGCAGUAUUUACAGGAUAGUUGUAAGAAGCCAAGUUUAUUUUAGAAUUGGUUGAUUGGUUUGUGUUGCAAGGUUAUAUAUCCUGGGAUUAUAAAGUCUCUGUAGUUAUCUGUGUGAAGAACAAUGGAUCAUUAAACCUAUAUUUAUCUGCAAAAUAAAAUAAAAUAAAAUAAAAAUAAAUCACUCUG